AGUGAACGCUGGCGGUAGGCCUAACACAUGCAAGUCGAACGGCAGCACAGUAAGAGCUUGCUCUUACGGGUGGCGAGUGGCGGAUGGGUGAGGAAUACAUCGGAAUCUACUUUUUCGUGGGGGAUAACGUAGGGAAACUUACGCUAAUACCGCAUACGACCUACGGGUGAAAGCAGGGGAUCUUCGGACCUUGCGCGAUUGAAUGAGCCGAUGUCGGAUUAGCUAGUUGGCGGGGUAAAGGCCCACCAAGGCGACGAUCCGUAGCUGGUCUGAGAGGAUGAUCAGCCACACUGGAACUGAGACACGGUCCAGACUCCUACGGGAGGCAGCAGUGGGGAAUAUUGGACAAUGGGCGCAAGCCUGAUCCAGCCAUACCGCGUGUGUGAAGAAGGCCUUCGGGUUGUAAAGCCCUUUUGUUGGGAAAGAAAAGCAGCAGGUUAAUACCCCGCUGUUCUGACGGUACCCAAAGAAUAAGCACCGGCUAACUUCGUG
rnacentral:rRNA from 1 species